AUUGCUUCUCGGCCUUUUGGCUAAGAUCAAGUGUAGUAUCUGUUCACGUCAGCUUAAAAAGCUUUCCAGUUUCAAAGAAAUGACUCUAACUCUUAAAAACUCCCA
rnacentral:snRNA from 1 species